rnacentral:lncRNA from 1 species
GUCCCACAGACGGCAGGAGAUUAAAGAAAUUAGCCGUUCAAAAAAAAAGUUGUCUACCUAUAAGUGUUACACAAAAAACUUCAUAAAAAUGUAACAUAUUGUAACGUGCACUGCAAACUAAAACCCUUCGUAAAUUUUGAAAAUAUUGAAAAUUGUAACAGUUAAAGUUCAAAAAAAUUUGAAAAAACUGUUAUCAAAACCCAUAAAAUGUGUAACACAAUAACACAUUCUUUCUCCCCUCUCCUAUGACACGAAAAAUAUUAUAAUAUCAAAAAAUAUGACUGUCAAAAAGUGUAACACGUGGCAUGAUUUAUGUCCACCCAUUUGGGUUUAUUUGGUUUUCUUAACUCAUCAAGGAUAUAUCUCUAUAGUUCACACACACACAUAUACAGGGAACAGGAUCAGGAGAGAACGCCGCAAAGUGUGA